rnacentral:rRNA from 1 species
UACGUAGGGACCGAGCGUUGUCCGGAAUCAUUGGGCGUAAAGAGCGUGUAGGCGGCCACUUAAGUCCUGCGUGAAAUCUUGCGGCUCAACCGCAAGCGGUCGUGGGAAACUGGGUGGCUAGAGUGCGGGAGAGGAGAGUGGAAUUCCUGGUGUAGCGGUGAAAUGCGCAGAUAUCAGGAGGAACACCGGUGGCGAAGGCGGGUCUCUGGGCCGAUACUGACGCUGAGGAGCGAAAAGCGUGGGGGAGCGAACAGG